rnacentral:rRNA from 1 species
GAGAAAGAGAACAAGAGCGAACGGAGGAUGCCUUGGCUUCCGAAAGCGAAGAAGGACGUGGUAAGCUGCGAAAAGCUCCGGGGAUCUGCAAACAGGAAUUGAUCCGGAGAUAUCCGAAUGGGGGAACCCAUACAGUUGAAGACUGUAUACCAUCCUUGGAUGGAGCGAACGCAGGGAACUGAAACAUCUUAGUACCUGCAGGAAAAGAAAGAAACAUCGAUUCCCGGAGUAGUGGCGAUCGAAACGGGAAGAGCCUAAACCGGUUGCGUUACGGCGCAGCCGGGGUUGUAGGACCAGCCAUAAAGAACAAGCUAGGAACCGGAACCGUCUGGAAAGUCGGUCCACAGAGGGUGAAAGGCCCGUACGGGUAACGGGGUUUGUUCGAGGUUGGCACCUGAGUAGGGCGGGACACGUGGAAUCCUGUCUGAAUCUGCGGCGACCAUGCCGCAAGGCUAAAUAUGAUCGGAAGACCGAUAGUGUACCAGUACCGUGAGGGAAAGGUGGGAAGCACCCCGAACAGGGGAGUGAAACAGAACCUGAAACCGUUCGUUUACAAGCGGUCGGAGCUCGCAAGAGCGACGGCGUGCCUUUUGCAUAAUGAGCCUACGAGUUGUUUCUUGCUGGCGAGGUUAAGUUCUUCAGGAACGUGAGCCGCAGCGAGAGCGAGUCUGAACAGGGCGUUCAGUCAGC